GCAGCGGAAGCGGAUGAAGGAAGCGCGGCGGGGGCCGAGGGGGCGGUGCGGAGCUGCGGGAGCCUCGGCCUCCCCUCAGCCCCUGCGCGGCUCUAAUGCGGCGCCCGCGCUGACACCCGAGCCCUGCCGCUCGCCGUCCUCCUGGGGAAUCACAGGGACGCUCCGCUGGCCGCCCUCGGCGGUUGAAGUCGCCUUGCGGGCUUGCGGCGGCCGCCCAUGGAGAAGGCCGGGUGGGGGGGCGAUGGCGUCCCCCGGGGGCCCGUACUGCACAUCGUGGUGGUCGGCUUUCACCACAAGAAGGGCUGCCAGGUUGAAUUCUCCUACCCGCCCCUGAUUCCAGGAGAUGGACACGACAGUCACACUCUACCUGAAGAAUGGAAGUAUUUACCCUUCCUUGCCUUGCCAGAUGGCGCACACAACUACCAGGAAGAUACUGUGUUUUUUCACUUGCCACCCAGAAGUGGAAAUGGAGCCACUGUGUAUGGCAUCUCUUGCUAUCGACAAAUCGAAGCCAAGGCAUUGAAAGUACGGCAAGCAGAUAUCACCAGAGAGACUGUUCAGAAAAGUGUCUGUGUUCUAAGCAAGCUGCCUCUCUAUGGCUUACUUCAAGCGAAACUUCAACUCAUUACACAUGCAUAUUUUGAAGAGAAAGAUUUUUCCCAAAUUUCCAUUCUAAAGGAGCUCUAUGAACAUAUGAAUAGUUCGUUGGGAGGAACUUCCUUAGAAGGAUCCCAGGUAUAUCUUGGUCUGUCUCCUCGAGAUCUUGUGCUUCAUUUUCGACACAAGGUCUUAAUCCUAUUUAAACUAAUUCUUCUUGAAAAAAAGGUUCUUUUUUAUAUUUCUCCAGUGAAUAAACUGGUGGGUGCCCUGAUGACUGUGUUAUCCCUUUUUCCAGGCAUGAUUGAACAUGGCCUCAGGGACUGUUCUCAGUACAGACCCCGAAAGAGUAUGUCUGAAGAUGUUGGGCUUCAGGAAAAUAAUCCCCCUGCAGACGAUUUCGUUUCCAUGCCUGCUUCGGACAUUUCAAACACCAACUUGGGAACAUUCAAGAAAAUCGUGACUGGAAAUCAUGGAGGAGACAUUGCCUUCAAGACUGAAGAAUGUUUGGUCCGGGCAGAAGAUGACAUCAGCGAAGGACAGGAACUCAGUGAUUCCAAUCAGUAUUUGAAACCUCCUUCUCGCCCCUCUCCAGAGUCUUCAGAAAGUGACUGGGAGACCUUGGAUCCUAGCAUCCUAGAGGAUUCCUCCUUGAAAGAAAGAGAACAAGCAGGGUCAGAACAGACAAACUCAUUUCCAAAGGACUCUUUGCCCUCAGACAGUCCUCCAAUUACUGUACAACCUCAAGCUAACACAGGCCAAGUGGUCCUGAUACCAGGGCUAAUUUCCGGUUUGGAAGAGGACCAGUAUGGCAUGCCCUUGGCCAUCUUCACAAAGGGAUAUCUGUGUUUGCCUUAUAUGGCAUUGCAGCAGCAUCAUCUUCUCUCUGAUGUCACCGUUCGGGGAUUUGUUGCUGGAGCUACUAACAUCCUUUUUCGACAACAGAAGCACCUCAGUGAUGCCAUCGUGGAAGUAGAAGAAGCUCUGAUCCAGAUCCAUGAUCCAGAACUCAGGAAGCUGCUGAACCCCACCACUGCGGACCUCAGGUUCGCAGAUUACCUAGUGCGACAUGUGACUGAGAACCGGGAUGAUGUCUUCCUCGACGGCACGGGCUGGGAGGGAGGUGACGAAUGGAUCCGAGCCCAGUUUGCAGUCUACAUCCACGCGCUGCUGGCUGCCACACUGCAGUUAGAUAAUGAAAAGAUGUUAUCGGACUAUGGGACGACCUUUGUUACGGCCUGGAAGAACACUCACAACUACAGGGUCUGGAACAGCAACAAGCAUCCAGCACUUGCAGAAAUAAAUCCAAACCACCCUUUCCAAGGCCAGUAUUCGGUGUCAGACAUGAAGUUAAGAUUCUCACAUUCUGUUCAGAACAGUGAACGUGGCAAAAAAAUUGGAAACGUCAUGGUCACAACAAGCCGGAAUGUCGUACAGACAGGAAAAGCUGUUGCAGUUAGCCUAGCAGGGCUUGCAAAUCAAGAGCAGCUCUAAAGUGACCAUGGGCGGUGCCAAGAGAGCAUGGAGGACACUGCAGCAUCUGCCUUAAUCAUUUCGGCAAAGGAGGAUAAAACAAAGUUGGCACUCUGCAACCCAGAAGAGGGCCCGCAUCAGAACCUGACCAUGUUGGCACCCUGAUCUUGAACUUCCAGCCUCCAGAACCGUGAGACAUUUCUGCUGUUUCUAAGCAACCUAUGGGUACUUUAUCACAGCAGCCUGUGCUAAGACAGUAUCCACAUCUGGUUCUCAGGUGAAGGUGUGAACAGUAUUGUUGAGGGAACAUGUGAAUAAAAGACCAAGAUUUCAGAGAUGGUUAGAGGUAAAAUCAGCGACUCUUAAGGUUCUAGAUAUAGAACGAAAACCAGAGGAGCGUGUCACAAGUCCCGUUUGGAGUCUUCCAAAUAAAGUGUUUAGCAAUAUACAAUACUAUUAUUGUCAAAUAAGACAGAGCAUCUUCUGUGCUUAAAAAAAAAAACAACAAAGUUCAAAUUUGGUGAAUAGUGGCAGAAACUAGUCUCACUUGAGUUCAGUGGUAAAAGUGAGAUGUGGUUCAUCAAGAAACAAUUCAGACAAGGAACUGGGUUUGUGAAGAAGGGGUUGCGGGAAAGAUUUUUAAGAAUUUUGUUUUGGAAGGAGUUUCCUGGUGGCUCAGCAGGUUAAGGUUCCAUGUUGUCACCACUGUGGCACAGGUUUGGUCAUGUUUAAAGAAAGGCAUGGAUCCAAUUAGAGAAGCUGAGAUAGUGGAGGAAUGAGAAGGCUACGUAAGAAUCUGCUGGGGAGGACUGCUUAAGAUUUAAGGUUCGGGUAGGGUCCAGGAAUCUGUAAGUUCCCCAUGUGACUCUUGGUGCUCAAGCAAGUUUGGGAGCUGGGAGAAUCACAGAGAAAACAUUGUAGAAAGGUUGGAAGGGCUAGUAUCUCUAACACAGAUCUUUCAUGCUUUGAUUCUCUAAGCAGGAGAGGAAAAACUUAUAAUGGAUACAGGUGCAGACAGAUGUGAUAAUGGAUAGUUCAGAAGUAAUCUGCUCACAGCAACUGGGGAAUGGAUGAGUUUAUAGGACUGGAGGCUUCAAAUUGUUUUGAAGAAUGAAGGACAGGUUGCUAGUGUUGAGAAACUGGUUGAGGAUGGUGACCUCAAGUUAUCUAAGGGCAUCAACCUGUGCAUUACGCAGUUUUCCGUAGCAGUUGCCAGCAACCCAACUGUAAUUAGAAAAGGCAGAGGGAACUGAACUCAUCUAAGAUUCGGGUUUUGCCACACAGUUAUAAAAUAACUGAUAACAAGGCAAAGGAGUUUAGGAUAUUGCCAAGAACGUCUUUAUUUCUCUUUUACUUUAGAAGGAUGGUUUUCCAGGGCAUAGAAUUCUACAGUGGUAAGACUUUUACUCAAACACUUUUAUUUUAUUCCACUCUUGUCUGGUUUCUGAAGAGAAGUUGGAUAUAUUUAUCUUAAUUCCUGUAUACCUUCCCUAUGUAAGUAUUUUUUUCCCUUGCUUCAAGAUUUUUUUUUAAUCUCUGAUUUUCUAUAAUUUGAAAAUAACAUGCCUAGGUAUAAUUUGGACUGCAUUCAAUAAGCAGUAGGAGGCAGUUAAGGUUUGUAAACAUGAUCAACAAAAUGCUCUAGGAAGACUGGUCAUCUAAAAUCAAAUCCUUGUAUUUAGAAGAAGGUCUAAACCAAUGGUUCUCAAUGGGACUGGACAAACGAAUAGCCUGUAGUACUUUGAAGAAAGCAGAGAUUAUGGUUUACUUUGGAAUCAAGCUCGGGCAUCUUCCCAAGCUUUCCAAAGUGCACCAAGAGGACUGUCACAUGCAACUGGGGCUGAAAGGCACUGUCACUGAUCUGUUAGUUUAUGUUCACACGGUAAGGCUCAAAUCAGACAAAUAUACAUACAUUUUGAAGAAAUCACCUUUAAA